rnacentral:rRNA from 1 species
GAUGAACGCUGGCGGCGUGCCUAAUACAUGCAAGUCGAGCGAACGGACGAGAAGCUUGCUUCUCUGAUGUUAGCGGCGGACGGGUGAGUAACACGUGGAUAACCUACCUAUAAGACUGGGAUAACUUCGGGAAACCGGAGCUAAUACCGGCUAAUAUUUUGAACCGCAUGGUUCAAAAGUGAAAGACGGUCUUGCUGUCACUUAUAGAUGGAUCCGCGCUGCAUUAGCUAGUUGGUAAGGUAACGGCUUACCAAGGCAACGAUGCAUAGCCGACCUGAGAGGGUGAUCGGCCACACUGGAACUGAGACACGGUCCAGACUCCUACGGGAGGCAGCAGUAGGGAAUCUUCCGCAAUGGGCGAAAGCCUGACGGAGCAACGCCGCGUGAGUGAUGAAGGUCUUCGGAUCGUAAAACUCUGUUAUUAGGGAAGAACAUAUGUGUAAGUAACUGUGCACAUCUUGACGGUACCUAAUCAGAAAGCAACGGCUAACUACGUG